UGGCUGGUUUACUAGUCCGAAUUGUAGUUUAAAGAAGCGUUUUCGGUGGCAGCCUGGGUAUAAAUCCUUUGGAAUAGGGUAUCAUAGAGGGUGAGAAUCCCGUCUUUGACUCAGUGAAUGCUACUAUGUGAUACGUUUUCAAAGAGUCGAGUUGUUUGGGAAUGCAGCUCAAAAUGGGUGGUAAAUUUCAUCUAAAGCUAAAUAUUGGCGAGAGACCGAUAGCGAACAAGUACCGUGAGGGAAAGAUGAAAAGAACUUUGAAAAGAGAGUUAAACAGUACGUGAAAUUGUUGAAAGGGAAACGUUUGACACCAGUCAUGCGGGUGGAAAAUCAGUCUUUUAGAGUAGGGAGUGGUGGGGGUUCGGACCGCAAGGCUGGCCUUUAUCUCAUCUCUGCGCUAAUGGAUGCACUUUUUCAUUUGCAGGUCAACAUCAGUUUCUUCUGCUGGACAAAACUCCGAGAGAAGGUAGCAGCUUAGGCUGUGUUAUAGCUCUGGAGCGAUACAGUGGAGGGGACUGAGGUUUUCGCAGUGUGUGCUUUUGGGCAAGGUUGAUUGGGUGCUAUGUGAUCGUUCGGUGUACAAUGCAUGCAUUUUGCGCUGUGUCUUUUGCAUACUCGCCUGACUCGACUCUUCCACGCUUAGGAUGUUGACUUAAUGGUUUUAAACGACCCGUCUUGAAACACGGACCAAGGAGUCUAACAUAUAUGCAAGUGUUUGGGUGGCAAACCCAUACGCGUAAUGAAAGUGAACGUAGGUGCGAUCCGCAAGGUGCAGCAUCGACCGAUCUUGAUAUUUUUGGAUAGAUUUGAGUAAGAGCAUAUAUGCUGGGACCCGAAA
rnacentral:rRNA from 1 species